CGACGGGUGAGUAAUGUCUGGGAAACUGCCCGAUGGAGGGGGAUAACUACUGGAAACGGUAGCUAAUACCGCAUAACGUCGCAAGACCAAAGAGGGGGACCUUAGGGCCUCUUGCCAUCGGAUGUGCCCAGAUGGGAUUAGCUAGUAGGUGGGGUAACGGCUCACCUAGGCGACGAUCCCUAGCUGGUCUGAGAGGAUGACCAGCCACACUGGAACUGAGACACGGCCCAG
rnacentral:rRNA from 1 species